CGUCGCAUCUGGAGAGGCAGAGGCCGUGGCCUUACUGACCUCAGAUUUGACUGCAACGGCGGAUAUCUGCUGUCAACACCACAAGAUACAUGAAUUUUAGCGGUGUUAUCGUCGAAAUGGAUAACCUGAGGUCUGUGCUACAAAGCAGCUUCAACAUACCCAGGAUAUCUUUUCAUCAUUUGGCUUCACUAAACUAAACCUAACUUCUGCAGUCUCUAAGCGGUCAUAGGACGGUGGUUAUCAACUCGCGAUAACUUGAAUGACACUGGGACAACCGUGGAGUGAGGAAGCAGAACUGUGUACAGCGCUGUCCAACAUGAAAACAAGUUAAUCAAUCGGACGCCGGUGAAAGGAGAGAGGUACAUUAAAAUCAAU